rnacentral:rRNA from 1 species
UGCCAGCCGCCGCGGUAAUACGGAGGGUGCAAACGUUGCUCGGAAUCAUUGGGCGUAAAGCGCACGUAGGCGGCCAUGUAAGUUGGGUGUGAAAGCCCAGGGCUCAACCCCGGAAGUGCAUUGGAAACUGGCGAACUUGAGUACGGGAGAGGAAAGUGGAAUUCCGAGUGUAGGGGUGAAAUCCGUAGAUAUUCGGAGGAACACCAGUGGCGAAGGCGGCUUUCUGGACCGAUACUGACGCUGAGACGCGAAAGCGUGGGGAGCAAACAGGAUUAGAUA